CUAUAGCUCAGCUUGAUAGAGCAGCGUUCUUAUGAGCCUUGUUUCGCUGGUUCAAAUCCCUGC
rnacentral:tRNA from 15 species